rnacentral:rRNA from 1 species
AUUGAACGCUGGCGGCAGGCCUAACACAUGCAAGUCGAGCGGAUGAAGGGAGCUUGCUCCUGGAUUCAGCGGCGGACGGGUGAGUAAUGCCUAGGAAUCUGCCUGGUAGUGGGGGAUAACGUCCGGAAACGGGCGCUAAUACCGCAUACGUCCUGAGGGAGAAAGUGGGGGAUCUUCGGACCUCACGCUAUCAGAUGAGCCUAGGUCGGAUUAGCUAGUUGGUGGGGUAAAGGCCUACCAAGGCGACGAUCCGUAACUGGUCUGAGAGGAUGAUCAGUCACACUGGAAGUGAGACACGGUCCAGACUCCUACGGGAGGCAGCAGUGGGGAAUAUUGGACAAUGGGCGAAAGCCUGAUCCAGCCAGGCCGCGUGUGUGAAGGAGGUCUUCGGAUUGUAAAGCACGUUAAGUUGGGAGGAAGGGCAGUAAGUUAAUACCUUGCUGUUUUGACGUUACCAACAGAAGAAGCACCGGCUAACUUCGUG